rnacentral:rRNA from 1 species
GGCGGCAUGCCUUACACAUGCAAGUCGAACGGCAGCACGGGGGCAACCCUGGUGGCGAGUGGCGAACGGGUGAGUAAUACAUCGGAACGUGUCCUGUAGUGGGGGAUAGCCCGGCGAAAGCCGGAUUAAUACCGCAUACGCUCUACGGAGGAAAGGGGGGGAUCUUAGGACCUCCCGCUACAGGGGCGGCCGAUGGCAGAUUAGCUAGUUGGUGGGGUAAAGGCCUACCAAGGCGACGAUCUGUAGCUGGUCUGAGAGGACGACCAGCCACACUGGGACUGAGACACGGCCCAGACUCCUACGGGAGGCAGCAGUGGGGAAUUUUGGACAAUGGGGGAAACCCUGAUCCAGCAAUGCCGCGUGUGUUAANAANGCCUUCGGGUUGUAAAGCACUUUUGUCCGGAAAGAAAACGCUCUGGUU